AGCACGUUAUGGUGGGCACUCUAAGGAGACUGCCGGUGGACAAACCGGAGGAAGGUGGGGAUGACGUCAAGUCAUCAUGGCCCUUACGGCCUGGGCUACACACGUGCUACAAUGGUCGGUACAAAGGGUUGCCAAGCCGCGAGGUGGAGACUAACUACCCAUAAAACCGAUCGUAGUCCGGAUCGCAGUCUGCAACUCGACUGCGUGAAGUCGGAAUCGCUAGUAAUCGUGAAUCAGAAAUGUCACGGUGAAUACGUUCCCGGGCCUU
rnacentral:rRNA from 1 species